GAUGAACGCUAGCGGCAGGCCUAACACAUGCAAGUCGAGGGGUAGUUACUUUCGGGUAAUGAGACCGGCGCACGGGUGCGUAACGCGUAUGCAAUCUACCUUUUACAGGGGAAUAGCCCAGAGAAAUUUGGAUUAAUGCCCCAUAGUAUGUAUGAAUCGCAUGGUUUAUACAUUAAAGUUCCAACGGUAAAAGAUGAGCAUGCGUCCCAUUAGUUAGUUGGUAAGGUAACGGCUUACCAAGACGAUGAUGGGUAGGGGUCCUGAGAGGGAGAUCCCCCACACUGGUACUGAGACACGGACCAGACUCCUACGGGAGGCAGCAGUGAGGAAUAUUGGACAAUGGGCGCAAGCCUGAUCCAGCCAUGCCGCGUGCAGGAAGAAGCAUCUAUGGUGUGUAAACUGCUUUUGUACGGGAAGAAACACUCCCUCGUGAGGGAGCUUGACGGUACCGUAAGAAUAAGGAUCGGCUAACUCCGUGCCAGCCGCCGCUGUAA
rnacentral:rRNA from 1 species